rnacentral:misc_RNA from 1 species
GGACUCGCAGCGCACGUUCAGGUCGUCCCGGCUGAUGAGGGUCACCAGUUGGCAGUGGGACAGGUUGAAGAACUCCUCUUGCUUGGCCACCUCCCCAAAAUGCAUGUAGAUGUACUCCCGGGCACGCUGGUGCAACUCCACACAGCCAAUCUGCUCAGCGAAGUUGGCGAUGCCGAUGGCAUUGCUGGGGUCCAGCUGCUGCACCAGGAAG